UUGGGUUAUGGAGUUUAGGAUUAGAUUGUCCAAGAUCCUUGCUUAUUGGUUGCUAAUAAGGCUAAAUCAACUUUGUUAAUGUUGAUUUAGAGCUUAGGAAUUUCACGCCCGGAAGGUGUUCGAUGAAAUUCCCGAACCAAAACUUUUAAGUGCUUUACACUCCUUGCCAUUUGAAAAUGUUGAUUAGGAUGUUUAGUGGCUAGAUAGACUUGUUCUUAAUGCUUGUUGAUCAUUUAAUUGCCUUUGGAAGAAGUUGAUGAUUAUUUGAUUAGUAAAGUGAUUAUUGUCAUGGAAAUGGAUUAGUCUAGUUUAG
rnacentral:lncRNA from 1 species